CACUAAGAAGCUAAACAGGGCCCAGCGUUAGCCUUUUAAGCUAAAAAUUGGUGACUCCCGACCACCCUUAGUGA
rnacentral:tRNA from 1 species